UACAGAGGUCCCAAGCGUUGUUCGGAUUCACUGGGCGUAAAGGGUGCGUAGGCGGUCGGGUAAGUCUGAUGUGAAAUCUCACAGCUUAACUGUGAAACUGCAUUGGAUACUAUUCGGCUUGAGAGUUGGAGGGGGGACUGGAAUUCUUGGUGUAGCAGUGAAAUGCGUAGAUAUCAAGAGGAACACCAGUGGCGAAGGCGAGUCCCUGGACAACUUCUGACGCUGAGGCACGAAAGCGUGGGGAGCAAAAGGG
rnacentral:rRNA from 1 species